UUUUGAGUUCCCUGUAUUUGAGGCAGAGGAAGAUGAUGUUGACUAGAUUCCUGACAAGAUUACCCGUCUUCUUGAGCAUGAAAAUAUGAUCAUUCAGCCGCAUCUUGAGAACCUGAAACAGUCAAAUUGGGGUUUUAGAGAUGUAAUAAAAAAAAGGGGUGAAAAACAAAAUCAAAAUAAAUAAAAAAUAAAAAUCAAAAAAAUCAAAAAAAAAAGAAGAAGAAA
rnacentral:lncRNA from 1 species